CUGGCAGUCACUGUCACUGUUAUUAAAUUAUCUGAAAACAAUUCGGUGCAUUUUAUUAAAUGGAUUUGUGAUGAUGCCUGCAGUGUUGUGUUUGUGAUUGGUGCUGGAUCAUUGCACAGUGAAAGCCAAUAUUGUUAUAAUAAAUUAAGGCAUUAUCUUAGAUUGAGUACGCUUUACAAAUAAAUACAAAUCUGUCGUAAUUUGUGUAGUAAAACAUUAGCUCUACAACAUUUGCAGUUAAUGGAUGAUUUAAAACUAGUUUUAGCGUAAUUUAAUAAUAACAAGAAACUUCUGUAAAUGCCAUAAGUCAGCUUAUUUCCCUCUGGUUCAAUUAAUAAUAUCGUGAAAUAGUGUUCCAACUUCUAAGCAAGAUUUGUAUUGGAUCAUAAACAGCCAUAACAACACAAAAAUGAAGGCUGCUUUGAUAUUUGACACUGUUAAUGAUUUGGUGUUUGGUAAAUGGGAUUCCACAUUUAUAGAGCGAAUGAAAACAUUCAGUAUACAGGAGAAUCAAAAUGAUGUGACAGAGAACAAUACUGUGUCUCAACUGCUUGCCCCUAUCAUAACAUCCCAGCGUGUUAUGGCAGCACAAUUUGGUAAUACAUACUCUUCUAUACAGUGCAAGGAUAAAACUACAAUUGUCUUUGAUGAGUGGCUAGAUCAUGUGUUCAUGAUUAUAAGCGAAGACUAUGUUGAUGAUGCCCAUAGAGAACUCUUGGACUUCAAAACUUUUGUGCAACACAUUUGUGGCCAAAACAUUAAUCUUCUACAUUCUUCCAUAUAUCAAGACUGGCUCUCGGUUCUCUUGGACUGUCGCACCAAAGGAGAUACCAUUCCUGGUGCCAAUGGGGUCAUUGGUGAAAGUGGCGCUACUACAUCUGCACUUAAUGCGCUUAAAAAUGUUUCAAAAAGUGUCAAGUUGCCAUACAACCACAGUCAUCUUAUGUUAUUUGUUGGAGACAAGCUACUAGCACUUUAUUCCAGUCGCGGAACUGAAGACCUGUCGCCACCCGACCUCAUUUUAUUGAGCAUCCAAUGCAUCGCUGCGCAAGAGUAUUGGUUGGAAGUUCAAAAUGAGGACAACAAUCCUGAUAAUCAAGAAAUUAUUCGAUUGCCUUGGUUGUCAACGGAAAACAGCGCAGUGGUGAAUUUAUGCGCGGGGCCUGGGGCCAGCCCCUGUGCACCACAUUCCAUACAUUUAGCGGAAAUUGCGCCCAGAAUUACGUUUGCUGUCGUUGUUGAUUUGGAUUUGAGAGAAACCGGCAUUUCAGCAUACAUGUCAAACCAAAUAUUAUCCAAUUUAAGACGACUGCUGUUGCAAAGGAAUUUAGAGCUGCUGCCCAAUACAUUGGAUUCUUUAGAAGCAGCAUUAAAAAAGACCACAGAUGCCUUACGUAAAAAUAAAGCGAAUGCAAGCCUCUGUGCUCGGCUUACAAGUCGUAUGUUGGAACUUCGUAAAUCGUGCACUACCACGACCCCGUUAACUCCUGAAACCACGGCAACGGCCAUGCAUACGGCAUUAGAAGCGGUCAUAGAACAGUUGAAGCCCGACAUACCGAGUUUGAAAAUGGAAAAGGCUUUGAAAGACCUGAAAGGAAUAUUGUCACCGUACGUCGAAUUUCUUGGGGUGAAAGCGAAGAGAUACUUCAGCAUGGCAUCGAGCACGGGUGAGACGGAUGCGAGUUGUUCCCUAACGCUGCACAAGUAUGUGGAGGAGUUCCCCGGACUCAUCCACUUCAUCUACGUGGACCGCACCGCUGGAAGGUUCCUCGCACCCGAUAUGGCUGAUUGCGCUGACAUGCUCGCUCCGGAUACGGUACUACGCGCAGUAUGCCGCAGCUUCGCGGUAGUGCGCGAGGGCUACUGCGCGGCCACGUGGCGGCGCGGGGCGCUGCACGGCUGCGCGCUGGUGUGGUGGGAGCGCCGCGGCCAGCCCGUGCGGCCCGCCGUGCCGCCGCACCCGGCCGCUGUACGAGCGCUACCACCGCCAGGGGACAUUCGCGGAAGCUUCUACAGGCAACUACUAGAGCUCGCAUUCCCGGGAGAUUCCCGCGGCGUGUCCGUGAAGGAACUGAUCUGCAUCCACCUGGGUCUACUGCCCGCGUCGACAGCAGUGCAACAAGCGCGCAGACUCGCUCACUCGGUACAUGAGCUGGCGGGCGACGUUGCUACCGGCGCUGCCGAUCUGCUUUAAACCCUAACUUAAAAAAAAACAGCAGAAAUCCUUUUUGGGCAGCCUGUAUCUAAACUUGCCGUACCUUUUAGUUUAUGGUAACUUUAGCGUAAGCUUGACGUCGUAGGGUAGCAGUAGAUUUAAGGGAUGAAAUUGUAUUGAAAGUAUCCAUGUAGUUUAGGAAUAAGACUAGAUGAGCAAUGUGCAUCAUAAUCUCCACAAUGUUGACUAAACGGAAGGUGUUGAAGUACUUGGAUGAUAAUAGUGAUGCUUCUUAUUCUAGGCCGGUGAUAUAUAGCCUCUGCGUCCCAUUUUAGGGCCUGCACUAGAGAACCCCUUCAUGGCCACACUCAGGCCCAAGUUAACUGACAACAUAAAUGUCCGUUUCUCUUAAACGGACGGUAAAGUGAGCCAAUACUGUUUUAAUUAGACUUUUAUCGUAACAUAUGCUAGUCCAAGAGUUAUUCGUUUAUGUUUGUAAAUGUAGAAAGUUAAGAGACAUGACAUUCCGGAUCUUACAUUCCAGAAUUAGUAAAGAUUCCAAUACUUGUCUGGAAAGGUGCCAAGUAAGAGAAGAUAAACAUCCCUAGGGAGUGUUACAAGAACUCGAUUAGAUUUUAUUGGGAGUGAGGAAGGGAGACGCACUGACUACUACCCUUCCUUCUAUUAUAUUUCUAUAAAAUACUUAUUGCCUGUAUUAAAAGUAUUUUACGUUUUGUAUUUUAUUAAUCAAUUUAAAUGUUUAUUAUUAUUUAUGUGUUGAAAAUGACAUUUUUGUGGCAUGUUUUUUUUUAUUAAAUUUAUUAUGAAUAAAAAUUCAAUUAUAGAAA